rnacentral:rRNA from 1 species
AUGAUCUCGUCCAUGUCUUGGGUGCCCAGGGGCGCCGCCAGGAGCGCCCCAAUCCAGGCGGACCCGCCCACGCAGGAGGAUAUCGACGAGGCCAUGAGGAGCAUCGCCCUCGCCACAGAGGACGACGGCAGUGACGCCGAAGCCGACGCUGACUAUGGCGAGAUGGAGGUCGACGGCGCUGAUGAGGAGGAGAAUGAGGAUGUCGCCCAGGCCAAGGUCGCCGCCGAGGCGCUCGGGAAGACCGGCUCGGGAGGCGCCGUCGGCGGUGUCUCCCAUGGGCUUGAGGAGCUCCACAUGGAGGACUACGACGACGAGGAUGACGAGCCUGAGCUUCUCAGUGCCGGCGGGAGGGGGGAUUUGUACUAUGAGAACAACGAAGAGGACCCUCAUCUCAUCAGGAACAGCGAUGAUGAUGAUGGUGAUGAAGACGACGAGGAGAUUGAAGACAUGGCUAUCAAACCUACUGAUAUGCUGAUUGUUUGUGCACACAACGAGGAUGAGUUUAACUCUCUUCAGGUUAGUAUAGUGGAAGAAUUGGAGGACGGGGAUCUUAAUAUGUAUGUUCAUCAUGAGGUCCCUCUCUCAGAUUUUCCACUCUGCACGGCUUGGAUGGAUUUUAACUUUAAGGAUGCCAAGAAAGAAGGGAAUUUCAUUGCUGUUGGAACCAUGGAUCCUGCAAUUGAAAUAUGGAACUUGGAUAUUGUUGAUGAGGUCAAACCACAUAUUGUGCUAGGAGGACUUUCAAAAAACAGAGAAAAGGUUAAGGGGGAGAAGGGAAAAAUAUACAAGGAGGGUAGCCACAAAAGUUCUGUGCUCGGACUUGCAUGGAAUGCAGUGGUGAGGAACGCUCUAGCUAGUGCAAGUGCAGACAAAACUAUUAAAGUUUGGGAUUUAUAUACCAGUAAAUGUGAUCGCACACUGCAACAUCAUGAUGACAAGGUUCAAUCAGUUGCCUGGAGGUCACCUGAAGUUCUUCUCAGUGGAUCUUUUGAUAGAUCAGUUGCCAUGACUGACAUGAGAGGUGAUGGACGAAGUUGUCAUAAAUGGUCCGUAGAAGCAGAUGUCGAAAGCUUAGCUUGUGAUCCACACAAUGAACACACGUUUGUGGUUAGUCUUGAAAAUGGGACGGUUCAAGCAUUUGAUACGCGGACAGCUUCAUCGCAUUCAAAUUGCGGCCAGCCCAUGUUUACUCUGCACGCACACGACAAGGCUGUUUCUUCAAUAUCCUUUACCCCAUCUACCCCCAAUCUCCUUGCGACAGGUUCAACUGAUAACACGGUGGAGCUCUGGGAUCUGUCGAACAACCAGCCGUCAUGCGUCGCUUCGCUGAAUCCAAACCUUGGGGCUAUAUUUUCGGUAUCGUUUUCGAACGACAGCCCCUUCCUGCUAGCAUGCGGAGGAUCGAAAGGCAAACUGAAGGUCUGGAACACACUGUUGGAACCAGCGGUGGCUAAUAGAUUCGGCAAGUAG